ensembl:snRNA U6 U6 spliceosomal RNA
AUGCUCACCACAGGGGCACAUACACUAAAAUUGCAACAACACAUAGAAGAUUGACAUGCCCCCUGCACAAAAAGGACACACAAAUUUAUGAAGUGUUCCAUAUUUUU